AUUCAGUUUGAUCCAGAAAUUGAGAAGACUGCAAAAAGGUUGAGAAAAGCAAUCAAGUUGCAAAAAUAGGCCAAUUCGGGAGCCUCUCAACCAUCUGCCCGAUCCCCUUUGCGCACCGAAGAGACCUCAUCUUCAACACCAACCGAGCCUCCAGUUGACACAAACCAAAGAGACAAUAUGGCCGCAGCUGCUGCCGCUGAAGAGUAACCCCUUUGCAUCACAUACCCAAUACUGA
rnacentral:lncRNA from 1 species